CAGCCGUAAACUAUGCGCGUUAGGUGUACUGGUGACCACGAGUCACCGGGGUGCCGAAGGGAAACCGUGAAACGUGCCGCCUGGGAAGUACGGUCGCAAGGCUGAAACUUAAAGGAAUUCCGGCGGGGGAGCACCACAACGGGUGGAGCCUGCGGUUUAAUUGGACUCAACGCCGGAAAUCUCACCGGAUAGGACAGACAAAUGAUAGUCGGGCUGAAGACUCUACUUGAUGAUCUGAGAGGAGGUGCAUGGCGUCAGUGACU
rnacentral:rRNA from 1 species